rnacentral:rRNA from 1 species
ACGGAAGGCAUCCUUGCUUCAUAUUGGUUAAUGGGCGAGAGCCUGAACCAGCCAAGUAGCGUGUAGGAUGACUGCCCUAUGGGUUGUAAACUACUUUUAUUAGGGAAUAAAGUGCUCUACGUGUAGAGUUUUGUAUGUACCUUUUGAAUAAGCAUCGGCUAAUUCCGUGCCAGCAGCCGCGGUAAUACGGAAGAUGCGAGCGUUAUCCGGAUUUAUUGGGUUUAAAGGGAGCGUAGGCGGACUAUUAAGUCUGCGGUGAAAUGUCAUGGCCCAACCUUGGCAUGCCGCGGAUACUGAUGGUCUUGAGUGCACACAAGGAAGAUGGAAUUCGUCGUGUAGCGGUGAAAUGCUUAGAUAUGACGAAGAACUCCGAUUGCGAAGGCAGUCUUCUGGGGUGUUACUGACGCUGAGGCUCGAAAGUGCGGGAAUCAAACAGGAUUAGAUACCCUGGUA